ACACAUGCAGUCGAACGGAACUUAGGGUUUAGUGGCGGACGGGUGAGUAACGCGUGAGAAUCUACCAUUAGGUCGGGGACAACCAUUGGAAACGAUGGCUAAUACCGGAUAAGCCGGAAGGUAAAAGAUUAAUUGCCUAAUGAAGAGCUCGCGUCUGAUUAGCUAGUUGGUGAGGUAAAAGCUCACCAAGGCAUCGAUCAGUAGCUGGUCUGAGAGGAUGACCAGCCACACUGGGACUGAGACACGGCCCAGACUCCUACGGGAGGCAGCAGUGGGGAAUUUUCCGCAAUGGGCGAAAGCCUGACGGAGCAAGACCGCGUGAGGGAGGAAGGCUCUUGGGUUGUAAACCUCUUUUCUUGGGGAAGAACAAAAUGACGGUACCCAAGGAAUCAGCAUCGGCUAACUCCGUGCCAGCAGCCGCGGUAAUACGGAGGAUGCAAGCGUUAUCCGGAAUUAUUGGGCGUAAAGCGUCCGCAGGUGGCUCUGUAAGUCUGUCGUUAAAGAAUGGGGCUCAAACCCAUACAGGCGAUGGAAACUACAAGGCUAGAGUUUGGUAGGGGUCACGGGAAUUCCUAGUGUAGCG
rnacentral:rRNA from 1 species